CCGACAAGGCGAGCCCACCCCUUCACCUAUUUUACAUUUACAUGCUCUUUUGAUCUAUUGCUAUCCCUAUGUUGCGAUUCUGUUGUGUCACGUGUCCUAUCCACCUGUUACCUAUAUAUCCGAGAUACACCUCCUAGCCCUACCUAUUGUUUGUUGUUUGCCAGCUUCGCGAGUCGUAGGCGAGUCUAGUGUUUUUGUUGAUAUCUUGAAAUAUUCGGGAUAUCUUGUUGGGAUGUUGACACAUGCACUACCUUUUUGAAAAUGAAGUUGAUAACUUUUGCCACAAUUAAAAUUGAUAUGGGAUAAUAAUAUUGCAGAGGCAUCGGUGAGCCCCUUUGCGAAAGCAUCGGAUUUUUGUCUCGCUUGUGUCCCCUAGGACCCGAGUUCUUGGUAAAUCUUAUCGAUAAGCCGUGUCCGCGGUUAUGGACGACUUGGAGCUGUUUAACUCGAUCAUAGAACAACUUACACCUAAUGUUGUCGCUAAUAACUUGCUAAUUACUUGCGUAGUAAGUUAGCCCUAUCAUAAUGGAAUGGAUAUAAAAAUUGUAAACUGUGUGAGUGCCUUGCCAGUACCUCUUGGCUAAGGGGGAUCGCAUUGGCUGGGUUUUGUUUGCAGAGUAUAGAACUGCUAGAUUAUGCGCUCUCUCACCUUCUCUAGUAGACGAAUGUGGUAGCGUGUCUCUAUUGGUUAGUUGCUUGCUGCCGCUAAACUCCACAUAUAGCCGGGCGAAGUUUACACCGCCCACCAGCAAGCAUAGCUGGUCUUGUCUCGCAAGUACGUGCCACUUGGUACUUACCCUCGUUUUUCUCUCUCUUUUUCCGGAACCCGCUUUUCGACAAACAGGUACGACAGAUGAUGAGCAGUACGCAGGAGGCUACUUCGUUGAGUUCACGGACGACGACUUCGUCGCGUAGCAGGAUCGUUCCUAAGGCAGCAGCCUGUGGCUUGUUGGUUAUGGAUCCCGCUUGGUUAUCUUCAGGACUCUUAGUCCAAUUUGGAUCUUGUCUGUACCCAGACUAUUUGCUAUCUUAUGUAUGAUGUACUGUUGGGAUAUGUUUCCCUAUUGAGUGUCAUUUGGAUCUUGCUCAGUAGAGCGUUGCUAUAUAUGAAUCUUAUUUCCAUCUUUUGUGUC